rnacentral:lncRNA from 10 species
GAAAGAGCAUCAAAAAUUGAAAUGUUGAAUUUCUCUUGGUCUUUAGGAGGGGCUGGAUUCUCAUUGUAUUUCAGAAGCACACAUUAUCAGAUUAAUCUGUACAAGUUGAGAGAAAGAGAAAUACAAAAGCAAGCCAGCAUUUUGGAUUAGCUAGCUAACAUUCGUGCUUAAAACUAAUUGCAUCAUUAAGAACAUUUCUGCUUUUCUUAGCAACCAUAUACAUACUUGGAAUAUAGUAUACAGAUGCUGCUCAUUACUGUUAUGACCAAAAGGCAUGUGGCUGUAGAUGAUUUCACUUGUUGCAAAUUAUCUUCUUAUCCAUUAGCAUCUCAUAAUUAAUGGACAAGGAUCUGAACUGCAGUGAUACUGGGUGGCUUCUAUUCCAUACAGUGGGCAGUCUGCACAAAACUCAUCUACCAUGAUUUUUACCUUUUCAUGGUGGUUAAAACUAAGGAUGUAGCCAUCUAGCAAAAAGCCAGAAUUUUCUCAUAGAAUAUGUGUGUAUGUGUGUGUGUGUGUGUUGGAAAUUCCUUUAUGCUUGAGGCAGGCAUGGAGUGAUUGGAUAGAACUCUAGCAUGUAGCUCCAACCCUGGUUUUGUUUAAUAAAGGCCAAGAUAUCCUAACAUAACCCUUGGAUCUCUAAUUUAAUGGCCUGGAUUACCUUUCAAAGGUUUAACGCCCUGGAACCCUCUGAAAAACCAAGAAAAUGUAUCCUAUUGGGCACUGCCUGUCCUUUUCACUUGCAGGCAAGCUGAGUCUUUGGUCCUUAAAGGAGAGUCUUUACUAAUGACAUCAAAAUGUCAGCCAAUGAGCAUCUUGCAAGGCUGCUUAGAGGCCCUGGAGGGAAUAUCUGGUUCAUAUAGAUUUGGUUCUUGAACUUUUCUGGUUGCUCUGGCUCAGGGUUUCUCAGCCUUGGCACUAUUGACAUUUGAAGCUGAAUGAUUCUUUGCUACAGAGCUGUCCUGGGUAUUGCGGGGUAUUUAGCAGCACCCCUGGCCUCUUCCCACUAGAUGCGAGUAGCACUCCUCCAGACCAGUGUGACAACAAACAAUGUCUCUAGACACUGCUGAAUAUCCUCUGGGGAUCAAAAUCGCCCUAACUGAGAACUGCUGCGUUAGUGAGGUUGCCCAUAGUACCCCAUGCUGGCCAUCAAGAGAGUGCCCACAGAAGUGUUUACAGCUGGCCUAAACUUUGUUGGCGCCUUCGUUUGAUUCCAAAACCACGAGGAUCCCUCUGGAGUCAUGUACCCCUUACAGUCUGUUCAAAUUUUCUAUUUCUCUUCCAUUGAAUCCAUAUGAAAUCCUAAGAAUUCACCUUCAGGUUUAGCCAUUGAUGGAUCUCAUCCAUUUCCCACUUUGUUCUUUCAGAAUCUUGUCUGCUUUUAACGUAAAUUGUCCAUACAACAGCCCCUGCUCCCAAGACUCUCACAAAUGCCUGCAGCUUUGUUACUUGUGCUCGUUCAAAGCUUACAAAUGACCAUUUUAUGGCCUAAACCUGGGAAGUGUUAGGCAAAGUCAGCUACGAUCUUGUUAGCAUUUCCUCACUACGUGUUUCAGGAUUGCUUUAACAAAAUCUGAUUCCUGGACAUGCUGGGUAGAUCAUCUAUUGAGUAGAAACAUGGAGGAGACAAAGGGUAAAUGGUACGUGGUAACACAGUUGGAACGUGUUUCUCAACUUGUGUUCUUAGCAGCCAAGCUCUGCCCCUGACUCUGAUCACAGGCAAAGGAAUAAAGUCUCAUUUCAAUCCUGAGCUUCUCCUAAUUCUUGUGGAUCAGAGCUGGGAUUAUGUCCAUAGCUAACCUGGAGUUUGCCAACUUUUGCAACCC